rnacentral:rRNA from 1 species
UACGUAGGGGGCAAGCGUUAUCCGGAUUUACUGGGUGUAAAGGGAGCGUAGACGGCGUAUCAAGUCUGAUGUGAAAUGCGGAUGCUUAACAUCCGAACUGCAUUGGAAACUGGUAUGCUUGAGUGCCGGAGAGGUAAGCGGAAUUCCUAGUGUAGCGGUGAAAUGCGUAGAUAUUAGGAGGAACACCAGUGGCGAAGGCGGCUUACUGGACGGUAACUGACGUUGAGGCUCGAAAGCGUGGGGAG